CUUGGUGCUAUCUCUGUCUGUUUAUCUUUACCGGCUUUGCCUAUCUACGUACUCUUUCAAUAGAUUACAGCUGCAAUAUGGAGGAAAUAAAUUAAAUAAUAAUUAAAUUCGUAGUGUUCACAGCCGAUAAACAAUAAAUUAAUAUUCAACUAAUAAAGUCAUUUUACGUAAAUCGUUCAAUAAAAUUAUGAUCGUAUCUUCGCUAGGUUAUGUGUCAGCAUUGUUGUGACAAGCGAAGCGGUUACGUUUAAUUUCGGAAUUGUGUUCGACUGUGAGACGAAGAAGAUGGGUUUACUUACCGAUCCUAGAGCUGGAACUGGCAAAAUCAUAAAACUGUUAUUGAAAUGGGAGAAACCGUUGUGUUUUAUAUUAUAUGUGAAAGGAGUUAUAUGGUUAAUGCUGUUAGCAUUACCAAUGUUUAACGAUAAUACUUACUUCUCUGAGAAUGCUUUGUUACCUGGAUUAGUUACGAAAGAGAGUAAUCUAGAACAAAUAUCAAAGCAAUACUAUUAUGAACUAGUUCACGAAAUGAAGAGAUAUCCAGAUGGUAUGCCUUAUGCAUGGCUCUCAGCUAAAUUCAGUCAGCUUUACUUAGAUGUACAUAUCCAUAACUUUUCCUUGGUUUAUCCAUUUCAGGAACAAAAGUUUACAGGACAAAAUAUUUAUGGCAUCGUUAGAGCUCCACGGGCGUCUAGCACUGAGGCUAUUGUAGUCAGUGCACCGUAUAGGCCAAUUAAUAGCGUUCAUUUAGACACUGCACCUUCGAUAGCAUUAUUACUUGCAUUUGCAAAGUUUUGCAGAAAACAAAAGUACUGGGCAAAGGAUAUAAUAUUUCUUGUAACAGAACAUGAACAAUUGGGCAUGCAAGCGUGGCUGGACGCGUAUCAUGGUGUUACUAGCGGACAAGAAGGAAUAUUGCUAGCAGGAGAUUUAUCAGGAAGAGCUGGAUCUAUUCAAGCUGCUAUCAAUUUAGAAUUUCAUGCAAUGAAAAUUACAUCGAUUGAUGUCAAGAUAGAAGGUUUGAAUGGACAGUUGCCCAAUCUGGAUCUUUUUAAUCUAGCACAAAAUAUGAUAGCCAAAGAAGGAAUUCGACAAUCUUUCCAACGUCGAUUCGAUGUCAAUUACAGAAAUAAAUUUAAAAGCUGGUGGUAUUAUUUUAAUACAUUAAUGAGUAUGAUAGCGACUCAAGCCACUGGGGUUCCAACUGGUAAUCAUGGAUUCUUCCACAGAUUUGGCAUAGAAGCCAUUACAUUAGAAGGUUUUGAGAGAACUGGGAAAGAGGUAGGAGCAAAUUUUUAUCAGAUAGGACGUGUAGUCGAAAGUAUAGUGCGAUCACUUAAUAAUUUAUUAGAACGUUUCCAUCAAUCAUAUUUCUUCUAUCUAUUGCCCUCCACUGAUCGAUAUAUCUCUAUUGGAUUAUAUAUGCGACCUUUGGUUUUGAUAAUUGCAAGUGUAUUCAUAAAAGCCUUUUCUAUUUGGCAAAGAUUGCAGGCGUCAAGUAGUUCAAAUGAUGCAAAAGACAAAGAAAAUGAGACAAAUGAGCAAAAGGACAACGUCGAGCAAAAGGACAACGUCGAACAAAACUUAUCGAACAAGAUUGAGGAAUUCGAUAUUGGCAGUAUCGCUUCUGAAAUAUUAUGGGCACACAUGUUUGGCGUAUUAGUAAUGGCCUCACCCCGAUUUUUCACCUUAAUCGGGUCACAGAUGUUCAGCUUGCGCACAGAGGACUCAUUAUAUGGCGGUUUCGCUGCUCUUACAGUUCUCAUGAUUUUAUGGCGCUUCAAUCUGAGGAGGUCGAUGAGAUACGAAAAUAUAUCGCUCAUCUGCAUCAUCGCGUCCAUCGAAUUAGGCACUGCGUUAAUGUGCGUAGCCAUGCACAAUUUCUCAUUAGCGUUACUGACAGCCGUCGUAUAUGUACCAGUUAUACUGCUCAUAACGCCGCAUCACGAGUUCGCGUCAAGAUUCCGCAGCUUUCAGUACAUCGCGUGGAUUUUGCUUCAUCCAUUCAUCGUUUCUACGAUUGUCGUAUAUGUAUAUACUUAUAUCAACUUCCCUACCGACACAAUCCUGUCUCUGCUCCUCCGAGGCCACCGCGCUAAUAAGCAAGCGCUCGUAUUUAGUAUCAUGGAUUCCAUGAUAUACGGCAAUUGGCUCUACAAUGUUACCACCGCUGUUAUGACACCGAUCUGGCUGCUGUUUUGGAACGUCAUGCGUUCCAACGUUGUGAUGCCCAUGCAAUAAGACUGCAUUUACCGCACAGUUAAAAUUCCUACCGACUUAGAAUUUUGAUUUCGUAGUCUCACUCGACUAGAUUGCAGUGUGUAGCGAGCACAGUGACGUCGAUUGAGGAACUUCGCUCUAAGCGAAGUGUCGAUAUAUCGCGUA
rnacentral:misc_RNA from 1 species